rnacentral:rRNA from 1 species
CAUGUCUUUUUGAAUAUAAUUUAAAGUCUGACCUGCCCUAUGAAUUUUUAAAUGGCUGCGGUACUCUGACCGUGCAAAGGUAGCAUAAUAAUUAGUUUUUUAAUUGAGAACUGGAAUGAAAGGUCGAACGAGAAAAAGACUGUCUCAAUUUAAUUUUUAUUAGAAUUUUAUUUUUAAGUAAAAAAGCUUAAAUAUUAUUAAAAGACGAGAAGACCCUAUAGAGUUUUAUAAUUUUAUAUAUAAUUGAAAGUUAAAGUAUUAUAGAUUUGAUUAUAUAUAAAAUUAUUUGGUUGGGGCGACUAAAAAAUUAAUUAAACUUUUUUUAUUUAUAAACAUUGAUAUAUGAUUAAGUGAUCCAUAAUGAUAUGAUUAUAAGAUUAAAUUACCUUAGGGAUAACAGCGUAAUUUUUUUUGAGAGUUCUUAUCGAAAAAAAAGUUUGCGACC